rnacentral:rRNA from 1 species
UUCGGGCUCUUUACAAGGUGCUGCAUGGUUGUCGUCAGCUCGUGCCGUGAGGUGUCGGGUUAAGUCCCAUAACGGGCGCAACCCUUAUCGUUAGUUGCCAGCGGGUCAUGCCGGGAACUCUAACGAAACUGCCGGUGUAAACCGUGAGGAAGGUGGGGAUGACGUCAAAUCAGCACGGCCCUUAUGUCCAGGGCUACACACGUGUUACAAUGGCCGGUACAGAGGGCAGCUACCUGGAGACAGGAUGCGAAUCUCCAAAGCCGGUCUCAGUUCGGAUCGGAGUCUGCAACUCGACUCCGUGAAGCUGGAUUCGCUAGUAAUCGCGCAUCAGCCAUGGCGCGGUGAAUACGUUCCCGGGCCUU